rnacentral:rRNA from 1 species
UACGUAGGGGGCAAGCGUUGUCCGGAUUUAUUGGGCGUAAAGAGCGUGUAGGCGGCUAGGUAGGUCCGUUGUGAAAACUCGAGGCUCAACCUCGAGACGCCGAUGGAAACCAUCUGGCUAGAGUCCGGAAGAGGAGAGUGGAAUUCCUGGUGUAGCGGUGAAAUGCGCAGAUAUCAGGAAGAACACCCGUGGCUAAGGCGGCUCUCUAGUACGGUACUGACGCUGAGGCGCGAAAGCUAGGGGAGCAAACAGG